rnacentral:rRNA from 1 species
UACGUAGGGGGCGAGCGCUGUCCGGAUUUAUUGGGCGUAAAGAGCUCGUAGGCGGUUCAGUAAGUCGAGUGUGAAAACUCCGGGCUCAACCCGGAGCCUGCAUUUGAUACUGCUGUGACUUGAGUCCGGUAGGGGAUCACGGAAUUCUCGGUGUAGCGGUGAAAUGCGCAGAUAUCGGGAGGAACACCAAUGGCGAAGGCAGUGAUCUGGGCCAGUACUGACGCUGAGGAGCGAAAGCGUGGGUAGCAAACAGG